UACGGGGGGGGUAAGCGUUGUUCGGAAUUACUGGGCGUAAAGGGCUCGUAGGCGGCCAACUAAGUCAUACGUGAAAUCCCUCAGCUUAACUGGGGAACUGCGUGUGAUACUGGAUGGCUUGGAUUUGGGAGAGGGAUGCGGAAUUCCAGGUGUAGCGGUGAAAUGCGUAGAUAUUCGGAAGAACACCAGUGGCGAAGGCGGCUCACUGGCCCGGUACUGACGCUGAGGUGCGAAAGCGUGGGGAGCAAACAGG
rnacentral:rRNA from 1 species